rnacentral:rRNA from 1 species
GAUGAACGCUAGCUACAGGCUUAACACAUGCAAGUCGCGGGGCAGCAUGGGGGUUGCUUGCAAUCCCCGAUGGCGACCGGCGCACGGGUGAGUAACGCGUAUCCAACCUGCCCUUCACCACGGGAUGACCCGGCGAAAGUCGGACUAAUACCGUAUGUUGUCCAUUGACGGCAUCCGAUUUGGACGAAAGGCUUGGCGGUGAGGGAUGGGGAUGCGUCCGAUUAGCCAGACGGCGGGGUAACGGCCCACCGUGGCUACGAUCGGUAGGGGUUCUGAGAGGAAGGUCCCCCACACUGGAACUGAGACACGGUCCAGACUCCUACGGGAGGCAGCAGUGAGGAAUAUUGGUCAAUGGGCGUAAGCCUGAACCAGCCAAGUAGCGUGCAGGAUGACGGCCCUAUGGGUUGUAAACUGCUUUUAUGCGGGGAUAAAGUGGCCCACGGGUGGGCUUUUGCAGGUACCGCAUGAAUAAGGACCGGCUAAUUCCGUG